CUGCGAGUGAAGAGGGAAGAGCUCAAAUUUGAAAUCUGGCAGUUGUUUUACUGCUCGAGUUGUAAUCUAGAGAAGUGCUACCCUGUGCUGGACCAUGUACAAGUCUCCUGGAAUGGAGCAUCAUAGAGGGUGAGAAUCCUGUCUUUGACAUGGAGUUACCAGUGCAAUUGUGGUGUGCUCUCAAAGAGUCGAGUUGUUUGGGAAUGCAGCUCUAAAUGGGUGGUAAACUCCAUCUAAAGCUAAAUAUUGGCAAGAGACCGAUAGCGAACAAGUACCGUGAGGGAAAGAUGAAAAGAACUUUGGAAAGAGAGUUAAACAGUAUGUGAAAUUGUUGAAAGGGAAACACUUAAAGUCAGUGAUGUCGGCCAGGGAUCAAGCCAGUUAAAUAUUGCUGGGUGUACUUCCUGAUCUUGACAGGUCAACAUGAGUUUUGACUGCUGGAAAAAGGCAAGGGGGAAUGUGGCACCUUCGGGUGUGUUAUAGCUCUCUGUCAAAUACAGUGGUUGGGACUGAGGAAAGCAGCACGCCUUUAGGCCGAGUUUUUACUACGUUCGUGCUGAGGAUGUUGGCAUAAUGGCUUUAAUUGACCCGUCUUGAAACACGGACCAAGGAGUCUAACAUGUCUGCGAGUGUUUGGGUGGCAAACCCUUGCGCGAAAUGAAAGUGAAAAGUUGAGAUCCCUUGUGAAAGGGGGAGCAUCGAUGCCCGGACCUGAGCUUUUAGCAAAGGAUCUGCGGUAGAGCAAACAUGUUAGGACCCGAAAGAUGGUGAACUAUGCCUGAAUAGGGUGAAGCCAGAGGAAACUCUGGUGGAGGCUCGUAGCGAUUCUGACGUGCAAAUCGAUCGUC
rnacentral:rRNA from 1 species